GCCCGGGUAGCUCAGUUGGUAGAGCACGUGAUUGAAAAUCACGGUGUCGGCGGUUCGAUCCCGUCCCCGGGCACCA
rnacentral:tRNA from 1 species